CCCACCCCCAAAUACACACUAAUGUGUUGUACCUGGGGAGAAGUGUGUCCCUUUUCUUCCAGACGCUACUGAGUGCUGCUUCAAGAACACUUUUCAAAGGUUCCUGUGCACUAAAGCAACCUAAAAACUGAAUUCCAAAUCUUUGAGUCAUAUGUAUUUCUAACAUCGACCAAUCACAUGGAAAAAAAUCAGGACGUUCGCUUGUCAGCAUAAGAAAGCAUCCAGGGGCCCCAGGAUAAAGUUCAAGGUCGCAGGUCAGUGCACAGGGCUCCUCACGACCUGACUCCACCCAGCUUACCAAGUGCACCUCCUCUACGCACAAAUGAAGGCAAGGAGCCGGACCUUUAAAUAAGCAUGCCAGAAUUUUGUAUAUCUGAAUGAGUAUCCUCUCUUAUGGCAGCAGUGUGUUGUUCUCGAUGUUUGUUCCAGAGGUCGCUGUUGCUGUAGAUGUCAGCGUCAGAGGCAGUGUAGUAGGAGCUGGACACAGAAGAGGAGCAAGACGUGGUACCUGCACUUAAGUAGUUCACAACCUGAUAAUGGAAUUGACAAGUACAGGAAUAAAUGCCAGAAUCAGGUGCUAAAAGCAGUGUAAAAAGAGAUAGGGAAGUAGGUGGGAGAAUGCCAGAAGACUUCAAAGAAUAAGCAACAUAUUAGUAGACUCUUUUUUUUCUUCUGCUUUUUCUCCCCAAGCCACCCAGUAUAUAGUGGUAUAUCUUAGUUGUGGGUCCUUCUAGUUGUGGUGUGUGGGACGCCGCCUCAACGUGGCCUGGUGAGCAGUGUCAUGUCCGUGCCCAGGAUCCAAACCAGUGAAACCCUGGGCCGCUGCAGUGGAGCCUGUGAACUUAACCACUCGGCCACCAGCCGGUACCCCCUAGGAGACUCUUAAAGCACAGAUAAAAUCUUAGCUGAAUUGGGCAUCCUGGGCAGGAUGGGAAAUCCAGAUGGAAGAAAGAGACUAAGUGAAGACCUGGAAAACAUGGCGGAUCCUGGUGCAACGGUGGCUAAUCCCGCCUCCCUGACUGUGGUGUGUGAGGCCGAGUGGAGGCGCAGUCGCUGAGAGAGGGAGAACGGGAAAGCACGGCCACCUGGUGUUUCGCUCCCCUGCGUUUCUGUCUCAGGCCUGGUGGAUUUCAGGCAGCUGUCCUGCAGAAGUUGUUUCACAAACCGAUUCAUGCUAAGGUGACUUGACAGAGAAAGUCUUAACGCGCUACUGUUUCUGUGGAAAUCUACAUCUUAAAAGGGAAAAGUUUAAGAACACAAUGAUUUACUUGACAGGAUUCCCCUGGUGGAUUUUAUACCCUGAGCGAGGGGCGUAGGAGCAACGUCCUUUUGGCCAGGGAACACUGUUGGAGAACAUAACCCGGUAAUCGCAGUGGGGAGAGGAAAUUUGGACACAGACGUGAUACGGAGGGAAGAUGAUGUGAAGACACAUGGAGAAGAUGCCACCUACAAGCCAAGGAGAAAGGCCUGAACAGAUCCUUCUUUCAUGCCCUUCAGAGGGAACCAACCCUGCUGACACCUUGAUCUUGGACUUCCAGCCUCCAGAGUUGUGAGACAAUACAUUUCUGUUGUUUAAGCCCCCUGUCUGUGGUACAUUGUUAUGGCAGGCCUGGCAACCAAUACAGUACUCUAGUGGACAUUUCCUACGAAUGAGGACACUUCCCUACAUGGCCAACCAUGCAAGAUCAAAACCAGGAAAUUGACACUGUUUCCAAAGGCAUGAGGAGGAGAGGGUGAAAAGAUGAGAACCAAGAGGAGUAAAAGCAAGGAAUGGGGAGGAGAGAGAGCAAGAGGUAAGGAGAAAUGAGAAACAAAAAGGAAACUAAACUAUCGAGUGCCCUUUGUACAUCAGGAACCAUCUUAUGCAUUUUACAUUGUUAUCACAUUUGCAGCUUUGAGCCAUCCUUAUAGAGUAGCUAUCACUCAUGGUUGUCCAGUGUCUGCUUUGGGCUAUGUACAAUGAGAUAGGUGUGGUAAUGUAAUGAUGAAUAUGUCAUUCACAUCUGCCUGAACAUUGACAGUCUAGUAGCAGACUCUGACAUUGAGAUAGUUUCCAUACAGGACACUAAGGUGCCUUGGGUAUGUAUAAAGGACAAUGACGAUUUUUCAGGCAGGAGUAAUCAUGCAGCCUGGGGAAGUAGGACUGGAAAGAGAAUAAGGUGAAUGUGGGAAGGGCCUUCUAGGUGGAUGGAUCAGUGUAUGCAAACUCAUGAGGGCGUAGAACAUCCUUAUGGAAGUUGUUGUGGCUGGAACACAGGGAGUGAGGAGGGAAGUGACUUGACCAUAGUGGGCCUUCUGGGCCAGCCCAAGGAGUUCGGGCUUUGUGACGAGGGGGGAAAUGCCUUAGCAGAGAAAUGCUUUGAUGAAAUAUGUCUUUCUGAUGGACUUCUCUGGCAGUGUUGCAGAGGAUGAGUUGGAAGGAGUUGAGAAUGAAGCCUAGGAGACUCCAUAGAGGAGUCUGUUAAAACAGCCUAGAUACAGACUGAUAAAUGCCUAAAUGGGAUGUUGAAGGUGAGAAAGCACCAUGGACUCCAGUGACUAUUAUAAGAUAAUAGAAGUUAAUGACUGAUUGGAUGAUGGAGGGGAGGAUGAGGGAAAUCUAGGAUAACCUCAAGCUAUUGGAUAGGGCAAUUGGGAUUAUAGUUGCCCACUACCUAGUGUUAGAAAUCAGUCUCGGCAAUCACCACUUCCUGCCUCUCUAUUGAAGUUGCCAAGGAAGCAGCAGCAGCAAAAUCCUUCCUAUUGGAACCAGUUUUGGGGUUGGAGCAUGUAGAUGAGGACCUAACUCUUCCUCUGAAUCCAAAUAUUGGAGCCAUUCCAUCUAGAUGUGGGAAAGAAGGAGAAAGCCGGCCAAGUCAACUUGCCCACCCAGCUGCAUGCACAAAUGAGAUGGAAAAGCAAGAGAAUGCAAGAGUAUACAGAGUUGUAAUUUACAGUAAUCUCAUGCCACCGGUAAAUGUGCCUCAGUCUAUGUCUUGGAUUAAGACCAAUCUGUUUUGCAACUUUUCCAUUUUGAUUAGAGAGGAUGGAAAAGUAGGAGGAAAAUGAAAAAAAGGAGCAGGAAUUUCCUCCCUGGGGGCUGGCCCUGUGGCUGAGUGGUUAAGUUCAUGUACUCCGCUUUGACGGCCCAGGGUUUCACUGGUUCGGAUCCUGAGCACGGACAUGGCACCGCUCAUCAGGCCAUGCUGAGGCAGUGUCCCACAUGCCACAACCAGAAGGACCCACAACUAAAAAAUAUGCAACUAUGUACUGGGGGACUUUGGGGAGAAAAAGCAGAAAAAAUAAAAAAGAAGAUUGGCAACAGUUGUUAGCUCAGGUGCCAAUCUUUGAAAAAAAAAAAAAGAAUUUCCUCCUCCAUAUCCUGAAGAAGAAAUAUAGAAGGAGAAAUAGACUUGGGAUGGGGAGAUCAUAACCAUUCCGUUUUUAACAUGCUGAGUCUGUGAUGACUGUAGAAUGUCCGGGUAGUAACGUCCAGCGCAAAGUUGAAAAUAGGAUUCUGGAGCUCAGGAGGGAGGUCUGGGCUGGAAGAAUGGGUAUGGCAUUAUCAGAAAACAAAGAGUCUUUGAAGUCUUGUCUGUGGUUGACAACAGGGGAUGAAGAGUGAACACAGGGAGCACUACAAUUUAAAGGACAGAUGAGGAAGAUAGCUCAUGAAGGCAAGUGAUGAGAAGUUAAUAGGUAGGCAGAAAACCUGGGGAGUGUGAGGUCUAGGAAGCUAAAGGAAGAAAGUGCCUCAAGAAAGAGCACGAGGAGGAUGACUUGGGACAGCUACAAGGAGAAACUAGGGAGAGAGCAGAAACAGGAUAAGUGAAAGUAAAGCGUUUUCUAGCAUCCAUGAGAGCACACUUGAAUAUGGAAACCCCAUCAAUCAUGGUGCCAGCCUGCAGGAAAACGGCCCUUCAGCAACCUUCAGAUGUCAGAUUAAAACCUUGGCCCAGCACUGGGGAUUUGCUGGGUGGAUGUGGUGGAAGGACAAGGGACCAGGAGCUGAAAAGGCUGGGUUCAAGUUCAAAAGGAAAGGAAGAAAUUUCAGGUGGAAUUGAGGGACUCUAAUUGAUUUCGGAGUUCAAGCAAUUCUCUUGCGAUCUCUGUGAACUAAAAGAGUAGGCUUAGAAGAGAAGUAAUAAACAAGCAGGAAGGCAAGGAAUUGUUGUUAUAGAUGGAAACGUUAGAGUUUAAGGUUUUAGAGGCAGAACUGUUCCUCGUGGCGACACUGUGUCUGUGGGCGUAGACUGCAGGGGGAAGGGAGUUGGAAUUUAUUGCCAUUGAGGUUAAAGAACGAAGAGGCUGGGGUGUUUGACGUGCCGCCCAUGUGGAUAUUGGAUUCAUUAAGAUCAUAGCAGAUGCUAAGGUGGAGAGGAAGACAGCCGUUAUCAAGUGCCCGAUGAAAGUAGAAGCAUGAUGCUCACUUUGGUAGAUUAUUAAAGAGAAGUGUAGAGGAAGGAAUAAUAAAUGGCCUGGAACCUCAAAAAGGGGAUUUGUGGGCCCGGCCCCGUGGCCUAGUGGUUGGGUUCGCGUGCUCUGCUUUGGCGGCCCAGGGUUUCACAGGUUGGAAUCCUGGGCAUGGACAUGAUACCGCUCAUCAGGCCAUGCUGAGGCGGCGUCCCACGUGCCACAGCUGGAAGGACCCACAACUAAAACUACACAACUAUGUACUGGGAGGCUUUGGGGAGAAGAAGGAAAAAUAAAAUCUUUAAAAGAAAAAAAAAAGGGGGAUUUGGUACAAGGAGGUGGAAAUAGUGUCCUGCUAGCGUUAUUAGAGAGUUAAAUGCUAAUGCUGCCUCUGGUGUCCAUAUGAGAGCAUGAGUAGCUUCCACUGAAAAGGGUUCUUGGGGAGCCAUUUUCUCAGGGAAGAGACAGGAUUCAAAAAGUUGAGGAAGUAGAGAGAACAUUAUGGAAGCAUAAUGUCAUCCUGGGGGUUGCUUAUAUUGCAUACAGUGUUUUCUGUUUCAUUUGAUUUUUUCCUAUUAUUUAUCAUUAAUAUUUUGUUUAUAUUAUUAUAGCUCUAUAACAAAAUUUAAUUUCUAGUGUUUCAAGUCUAACUUUGUUGUUUCUUUUUUCUCUCCAAAACUUCUUAGUUAUUUUCGCUUAAUAAAAUUAUUCCACUGUUAUUCUGAUGAGAAAUCGUGUUGAAUGUGCGCUUCAGUGUGGGUGUAGUUGAUGCCGUCACACUCUGUUGGCGGUCGAGUUCCCUGGGAAGCAGAGGCAGAGGGAGGAGUGCGUGCAGGAGGUUUUUUAGGGGGUCCUCUUGAGAUCGGUGCCUAUGUGGGCUGAAGGAAGCGGGACCGAGCAGACGAAGUGGCUGAACCCCAGUGAAGUCAGGACAAAGCCCUCAGCUAACCCCAGGGGAGUUCUGGGGCUAGGAUGGAACUUGGUAGUUGUCCCAAAUUGAGGCAAGGGGACCAGGUUUUUGUAAAGCUUCCUCCUCCACCGUUGACCGGUCACUCGAUGAGACCACCCCGGGAGAGGAGGUGGCUUUCUUCAAUUGAGGGAGGUUCCUGGAGGACAAGGCAGCUGAGAGCCAUCAGCAGCUAAGGAGGUGAGUUCCUGAAGAGGGAAAUCUGGAGGGCGCAUCACAGCAUCCACUACAACACAAUGAGGGCAUAUUGUGCUUUUCAUUUAGUCAAAUCUGUUUUUUUCCAAAGAUUAAAAUCAUCACAAAGACUUAUAAUUUUUUUCACAUGCUGCCAACCACAUUGCUUAUUAAAUUUGUUAUAGGCUAUUUGAUAUUUAGUGAUGGAUUGUUGAAUGAGACAUUUUCCCAUUAUAUUUUCUAACUGGCUAUUCCUAGUAAGUAAAAACAGUGUUUAUGGGUUAUUGUAUUUAUUUGUUUAUUUACUUAUUUUUUAGUUUUAUUGAGGUAUAAUUGACAUAAUAAACUGUACAUACUUAGAAUGAUGCCUGCAUGAAUUUUGACAUCUGUAUACAUUUAUAAAAACAUAACCACAAUCAUCACCCCAAAAGCUCUCAUAUGUCCCUUUGUUAUCCAUCCCUUCCUGGCACCAGCCCCUGGCCCAAGAGAACCAUUCAUCUGCUUUCUGGCACUAUAGAUUAGUUUGCAUUUUCUAAAAUUUGUUAUGGAAUCAUACAGUAUGUAUCCCUUUUUUGCUUGUCUUAGCAUAAUUAUUUAGAGAUUCAUUCACGUUGUUUUGUGUAUCAAUAGUUCAUUUCUUCUUAUUGCUGUCUAGUCUUCUGUCAUAUCUGUCAUAUUCCACAAUCUGUUUAUCCAUUUACCUACUGAUGGACGUUUGCUUGUUGUUUUCAGUUUGGGGCAUUUACAAAUAAAGCUGCUAUGAAUAUUUGUGCACAAGUCUGUGUGUGGCCACGUGAUUUCUCUUCUCUUGGGUAAAUACCUACAAGUGGAUUGACUGGGUUCUAUGUGGGGGAUGUGUUUAACUUUUUUUUAGCAAACUGCCCAACUGUUUUCCAAACCAUUUUCCAAAUGAUCAUAUCACUUUGAUCCAGCAGUAAAUGAGAGUCCCACUUCUUCCAUAUCCUUUGCUAAUACUCAGUGUGGUCAGACUUUUACAUUUUAGCCAUUCCAGUGGAUGUGUAUUAGUACACCGUUGUGGUUUUAAUUUGCACUUCCUUAGUGAUCAAUGAUGUUGGACAUCUUUUCAUGUGCUUAUUGUAUUUAUUUUUACCAGAAGUCUCACCUAAUGCUCCAAUUUAUUUCUAAAAGAUUUUUAUUGAUUUAAUUGUUUUCUAGGUACACAGAUAAAUCUCAUAGUCCUCUUUUGGACCUGGCUUUCUGACUGGGCCAGCCUCUAUACCUGAUGCAGGAAGAAAGGAGCCAGCUUCUCAGGCUGCCGCAGGCCCAGGGACGCAUCUUCCUGAAGACACUGCAAGCUUGAGGCCUUCGAACCGCGGCUCUCGGGACUGAGCCAUCAGUACCUGCGAAGUUUUGUCUCUGGGACUUCGAUAGCACCUCCAGUCAGACAUGUUAAAAAACAAAAUAACAAAAGCCAAGCAAACCCCACACCACCCGGAGGUUGUAUACAAGUCUCAAAUUUCUGAUCUGCCGUACAUCCAGAAGUGACGUCAAACGUCAUUUUACAAACGCUUUAUCCAUUUCUCAAUUAGGAGUUCUCAAAGAUGUCGAGACCAAGAGUAUCUGAAUAAUACAAAAACCCCACUUCCUUUCACUAUUUUUCCUUUCCUCAGGUAGAAAAACAAAUCGUUAUGAGAAUGACUGGGAGAAGUCAGUGGGGUGAGGCUUGGCCUUUAUUAAGUAGCAGAACUGAAUUAUUAAUUCAUGUGAGGAAUGAAAGUACAGUCUCUUAUACCCUAAAUGUUUGGACCUCAAAGCCCAGCCCACACGUUUCCUGCGAGGAACACUGGCUACACGAUUUGUAGGGCCCGGUGCAAAAUGAAAAUGAGGCACCCCUUGCUUAAAAUUGUUCAGAAUUUAAGACAUCAACAGCAGAGCUUUCAAACCCAGUGCACGGCCCGCUGGAGUGAGGAGCCCUGGGUGGACGUCCGUGGAGCUGGCCCGCUUGGGAGCGGUGACCAGCAUUUGAGCCCUGGGAGAAAGGGAAAGGUAAACCUUCUACUCUACCAGUGGAUGCCCAAGAAAGAAGCAACCUUGUGCACCAGGUCACACCAAAGAAGGCUGGGGUCAGACCACCACUCCCAAUGCACCCCCUUCAUGUCUGUGUUUGGAAUAAGAACUCCAGCCCCCACCCACUGAACCAGUGUCUGUGUCACCAGUGGAUGAGACCCAAUUUCUGGAAUAAAGAGGAAAGGAUCUGUGUCAGAGGUUUGUCACCUCCUUUUUUAAUACACUUGAAUUUUUAGAGCAGU
rnacentral:lncRNA from 1 species